rnacentral:rRNA from 1 species
AUGACUUUUCUCAUCAUAGCCAUUAUCAUCACUGGAAAACCAAGGGGAAAAUCCAUUCAAGAUUUGGGGGAUUGGAAAGAACCAUCAGCGGCAAAUGUAUUUGACCUCAAUGUAAAUUCAGUCCGCAUCAUGGUAGGAUCGCUCAUAGGCAAUCCUCAUCAUCUGGUUCUGUUAUUAUCCCUCCAAUACAGUUAUUACCUUAAAAUACUAGGUUUCUCAAAAACCAAUAGACAAAUCAGAAAAUACAAACACGUAAGGCGGCUCAGAUGUAAAAUGGGUUGUAAGUUUGUUUAUCAGCACAAGGAGAUAAAUCUCUUCAGAGUGGUGCAUGACUUUUCUCAUCAUAGCCUUUGCUUCUACAAAGCACCUAUUUUGCAGACAUAA